rnacentral:rRNA from 1 species
GAUGAACGCUGGCGGCGUGCCUAAUACAUGCAAGUCGAGCGAACGGACGAGAAGCUUGCUUCUCUGAUGUUAGCGGCGGACGGGUGAGUAACACGUGGAUAACCUACCUAUAAGACUGGGAUAACUUCGGGAAACCGUAGCUAAUACCGGAUAAUAUUUUGAACCGCAUGGUUCAAAAGUGAAAGACGGUCUUGCUGUCACUUAUAGAUGGAUCCGCGCUGCAUUAGCUAGUUGGUAAGGUAACGGCUUACCAAGGCAACGAUGCAUAGCCGACCUGAGAGGGUGAUCGGCCACACUGGAACUGAGACACGGUCCAGACUCCUACGGGAGGCAGCAGUAGGGAAUCUUCCGCAAUGGGCGAAAGCCUGACGGAGCAACGCCGCGUGAGUGAUGAAGGUCUUCGGAUCGUAAAGCUCUGUUAUUAGGGAAGAACAUAUGUGUAAGUAACUGUGCACAUCUUGACGGUACCUAAUCAGAAAGCCACGGCUAACUACGUG